GUAAAGUAUAAUAUACAGUAUACUUUACCAAAACAACUACCGUACCUAACGCUUGUGUGAACUCGGGAUAAAGAUUCGCCGUAAACAAAGGAUCCGGUAGCUCCCUGAAAUAUUGUUUUAAUGUCCCUGCGACAGCGUGAAUGUCUGCUUCGGAGAUAUAUACCAGAGCUUCUUGACUGUCUGUAACAUUAAAUACAAAAAUAACGUUACAUUUAGUUAUGUUAAUCAUUAGUUAUAGCCGCGCU